rnacentral:rRNA from 1 species
AUACGGAGGGUGCAAGCGUUACUCGGAAUUACUGGGCGUAAAAGACGCGUAGGCGGUUUAGAAAGUCAGAUGUGAAAGCCUAUGGCUUAACCAUAGAACUGCAUUUGAAACUUCCAAACUAGAGUGGGGGAGAGGUCAGUGGAAUUAGUGGUGUAGGGGUAAAAUCCGUAGAGAUCACUAGGAAUACUCAUUGCGAAGGCGACUGACUGGAACUUAACUGACGCUGAGGCGUGAAAGCGUGGGGAGCAAACAGGAUUAGAUACCCCAGUAGUCC